rnacentral:rRNA from 1 species
CCUACGGGAGGCUGCAGUGAGGAAUAUUGGUCAAUGGGCUUACGCCUGAACCAGCCAAGUCGCGUGAGGGAAGACUGCCCUAUGGGUUGUAAACCUCUUUUGUCGGGGAGCAAACGACGCCACGCGUGGCGUUCCGAGAGUACCCGACGAAAAAGCAUCGGCUAACUCCGUGCCAGCAGCCGCGGUAAUACGGAGGAUGCGAGCGUUAUCCGGAUUUAUUGGGUUUAAAGGGUGCGCAGGCGGACGAUCAAGUCAGCGGUAAAAUUGAGAGGCUCAACCUCUUCGAGCCGUUGAAACUGGUUGUCUUGAGUGAGAGAGAAGUAGGCGGAAUGCGUGGUGUAGCGGUGAAAUGCUUAGAUAUCACGAAGAACUCCGAUUGCGAAGGCAGCUUACUAAACUGCAACUGACAUUGAUGCUCGAAAGUGUGGGUAUCAAACAGGAUUAGAUACCCGAGUAGUC